AGUGAACGCUGGCGGUAGGCCUAACACAUGCAAGUCGAACGGCAGCACAGUAAGAGCUUGCUCUUACGGGUGGCGAGUGGCGGACGGGUGAGGAAUACAUCGGAAUCUACUUUUUCGUGGGGGAUAACGUAGGGAAACUUACGCUAAUACCGCAUACGACCUACGGGUGAAAGCAGGGGAUCUUCGGACCUUGCGCGAUUGAAUGAGCCGAUGUCGGAUUAGCUAGUUGGCGGGGUAAAGGCCCACCAAGGCGACGAUCCGUAGCUGGUCUGAGAGGAUGAUCGGCCACACUGGAACUGAGACACGGUCCAGACUCCUACGGGAGGCAGCAGUGGGGAAUAUUGGACAAUGGGCGCAAGCCUGAUCCAGCCAUACCGCGUGGGUGAAGAAGGCCUUCGGGUUGUAAAGCCCUUUUGUUGGGGAAGAAAAGCAGCAGGUUAAUACCCCGCUGUUCUGACGGUACCCAAAGAAUAAGCACCGGCUAACUUCGUG
rnacentral:rRNA from 1 species